rnacentral:rRNA from 1 species
UACAGAGGUCCCGAGCGUUGUUCGGAUUCACUGGGCGUAAAGGGUGCGUAGGUGGUGAGGUAAGUCGGAUGUGAAAUCUCCAGGCUCAACCUGGAAACUGCAUUGGAAACUACCUUGCUGGAGGAUUUGAGGGGGGAUUGGAAUACUUGGUGUAGCAGUGAAAUGCGUAGAUAUCAAGUGGAACACCAGUGGCGAAGGCGAAUCCCUGGAAAAUACCUGACACUGAGGCACGAAAGCUAGGGGAGCAAAC